GACGAACGCUGGCGGCGUGCUUAACACAUGCAAGUCGAACGGAAAGGCCCCUUUCGGGGUACUCGAGUGGCGAACGGGUACGUAACACGUGAGUAACCUGCCCUUGACUUCGGGAUAACUUCAGGAAACUGGGGCUAAUACCGGAUAGGAAUACUUGCUGCAUGGUGGGGGUUGGAAAGCUUCGGCGGUUUUGGAUGGACUCGCGGCUUAUCAGCUUGUUGGUGGGGUAGUGGCUUACCAAGGCUUUGACGGGUAGCCGGCCUGAGAGGGCGACCGGCCACAUUGGGACUGCGAGACGGCCCAGACUCCUACGGGAGGCAGCAGUGGGGAAUAUUGCACAAUGGGCGGAAGCCUGAUGCAGCAACGCCGCGUGCGGGAUGACGGCCUUCGGGUUGUAAACCGCUUUCAGCAGGGGCGAAGCUUGUGGUGACGGUACCUGCAGAAGAAGCACCGGCUAACUACGUG
rnacentral:rRNA from 1 species